CAACUAGGAGGAAAGGAAACCAUACAAGACUCAGAGGAGGCGCAGUGCUGAAGUGAAAUACUAAGAAAAUGAAUGGUGAAAACAUCUCCUCUGUAAAGAAUUAAGCAAAACAUACACACGAAAAAAGUACAAAGAAGGAAAAGAUCUGGAGGGUGUGAAAAAGCAGCAUACCUACCACUAAAGACAGGCACCAUGAUGAGCAGAGCAUUCAGCUCCGCUGAUGUUUUUCCACGUGAUGUGUGUAUAAGAUAAAAAUAAAAUGUUCGAGUGUC